CAAUAGCGUAUAUUAAAGUUGUUGCAGUUAAAAAGCUCGUAGUUGGAUUUGUGGCUGUCACGGGCGGCCUAUCACUUAGUGUUAGUGCUUGCCUGUGUCGCCAUCCUUGGGUGGAGCCCGUGUGGCAUUAGGUUGUCGUGCGGGGGAUGCCCAUCGUUUACUGUGAGAAAAUUAGAGUGUUCAAAGCAGGCUUAUGCCAUUGAAUAUGUUAGCAUGGAAUAAUAAGAUAGGACCUCGGCACUAUUUUGUUGGUUUGCGCACCGAGGUAAUGAUUAAUAGGGACAGUUGGGGGUAUUCGUAUUUCAUUGUCAGAGGUGAAAUUCUUGGAUUUCUGAAAGACGAACUACUGCGAAAGCAUUUACCAAGGAUGUUUUCAUUAA
rnacentral:rRNA from 1 species